rnacentral:lncRNA from 1 species
AAUACCUGAAUAUAUAUAAAAAUUCUAAGGUGUGAUAUUUAGUAUCUACAAUAAAAUAUACCAUAAGAUGGUAAUUAACUCAGCUUCAUUAAUCUUAAUCGUAUAUAAUAAUUUAGGUGGUGAAGUGGCUGAAUGUGUGGUCCCUUUCGUUUUGGGCGAUGGUAAAGAAAACGCACACCCGGUGAUUGGGGUUGGGGUUUUUGUUACACCGAAAACGGGCGGUGUGAGUAUUCUUUACCGCCGCCUCGUUUUGUACCGAAUGCUUACUAUAUGUAAACAACCAUUUGUCUUUAUCGUUAUAGUUUCAUUUUUAUAAACUUUGUAUUUUUCCUUUUUCUUCCAUCAGUCGAGUCUGUGCCAACACUCACGGUGUCAUAAGGAAAUACAGUCUCUUCAUGUGCCGGAGAUGUUUCCGAGAAUAUUCCAAUGACAUUGGAUUUAAGAAGGUACGAGAAUUUAUGUCGCUAAAUUUGAUGGUACUACUUAAGAAGAGUGGUCCCGGUGCGCGCAUCCGCGCUAGCUGGUCGUGACUAGUCGAUCCUACAACGAUUACCUAGCAAAGUAAAUAAAACAUAAACACAAAGCAAGGAUCGAUUAGUCACGACUAGCUAACGUGGAUACGUGAGUGCGCGCACCAGGACCACUUUUCGUAAGUAGUACCAAUUUGAUUUUCAGAUAUUCCGAAGAUAUCAGUUCAAAACAUUACUUGACGAUUUGAUCAAUUUUGAGCACAGAAAAUUCAAAUUUCAACAGGUCACUACUGUUAGACAAUUGAAGUCCAAUAGAGGGAAGUAUGGACCAGAAUUAAUACAGUUUGUGCUGAACGGGUAAGGAAUGUGGGUAAAAUUUUAGCAUAUGUCCAAAAGCCAAAAUAAAUCGAGCUGUCGAGAAUGUUUCAAACUUUCAUAUCCUGGAAUACUCUUGAAUUUGUUUUUUUGUUUGUGUGGUUUUUAAUAUUUAUUAAAAAUGUCUUUCUCUUUUUUCAGCUUGACUAAUGGUUAACGCAAACAUGGCCUGAAGCUUGUUAAGAAACAUCAUUUAACUGGGUUAAAUGUCAAUAAAUUACAUUGUAAUAUACAUAU